rnacentral:rRNA from 1 species
UACGAAGGGGGCUAGCGUUGCUCGGAAUUACUGGGCGUAAAGCGCACGUAGGCGGCUCUUUAAGUCAGGGGUGAAAUCCUGGAGCUCAACUCCAGAACUGCCUUUGAUACUGAAGAUCUUGAGUUCGGGAGAGGUGAGUGGAACUGCGAGUGUAGAGGUGAAAUUCGUAGAUAUUCGCAAGAACACCAGUGGCGAAGGCGGCUCACUGGCCCGAUACUGACGCUGAGGCACGAAAGCGUGGGUAGCGAACAGG